AUGACCUUUUUUUUAACCAAAUCAUUCUAUUUGUUAAAUGAGUCGUGUGGUUAUUAAGCAAAUCCAGCUUCCCUAUCCACUUUGCUUGUUGGAAACCAAUUGGGAAGGUUCCAAAUGGCAAUCACAUGACCACAGGACAUGCAACUGUCAUAUAUACAGUACAUGCUGGUUGCCAAGUGUUCAAAUUUGGAUCAUGUGACCUUGGGGAUGCUAUGAUGUGCAAGGACUGGUUCUAUGACACUUUUUGAGUACCAUUGUAACUCUGAACGGUUGCUUAAACAUACAGCUGUAAGGGAAGGACUAUCUCCAUUCUUUCAGAUGACCUCUUAAAAAGAGAUUGAACAGCCAUUUGUCUGAAAUGGUAUAUGAACUCCUCCUUGACAGACCCAGACUUCAGAGGAUAAUUAGAACUGCAGAAAAAACAAUUACGACCAACCUGCCUUCCAUUGAGGACCUGUAUAUUGCAUGAGUCAAAAAGAGGGCUGUGAAAAUAUCUACAGGCCCCUCACAUCCUGGACAUAAAUUGUUUCAACUCCUAUCCUCAAAAUGACACUAUAGAGCACUGCACACCAGAACAACUAGACACAAGAACAAUUUUUUCCCAAAUGCCAUCACUCUGCUAAACAAAUAAUUCCCUCAACACUGUCAAACUAUUUACUAAGUCUGCACUACUGUUAAUCUUCUCAUCAUUCCUAUCACCCAUCUCCUCCCAUUUAUGACUGUAUGACUGUAACCUUGUUGCUGGUAUCCUUACAAUUUAUAUUGACUGUUUCCUAAUAUGAUUUGAUUGCUUAUUUGUUCCCUAAGACUAUCAUUAAGUGUGGUACCUUAUGAGUCUUGACGAAUGUAUCUUGUCUUUUUAUGAACACUGAGAGCAUAUGCACCAAGACAAAUUCCUUGUGUGUCCAAUCACACUUGGCCAAUAAAGAAUUCUCUUCUUCUAUUCUUCUUGAGCAGUGGGCUGGACUAGAAGUUCUCCAAGGUCCUUUCCAGCUCUAUUCUGAUUCUGAUGCUGAUUCAGAAGGCAAGGUGAAGUUGCAGUGCACGCGUAUGUCGCUUAAGUACUAGGGAGGCGUGGCUAAAGACUUUCAGCAAGCCUAGCAGACCCAUAAGACUGGCCCAGCAUUGCCAUCUUCAAUCUUCAAGACUGAGUUGCAUUUUUGAGCUUGGAUUUCUUUUGUCAUUUCCUUUUAUAAAAUGGAUUUGUAGGAGUAAAUAUAAGGGGAAAGGAGUUGCAACUGGGGUUUCAUGGCAAUGGCUCAAUAAUUUAUUCCCGUUUUGUUCAGCACCAUCGAAUAAACGUCUUUAGGAAGUUUAAGAGAAGAACAAAAACAGGCAGUCUUUGUAUUGUUUGUCUCCAUCAUCUGGUAUUCAGAGAGGCGCUCUGUUUGAAGAGCAUAGAUGGUGCAGCUAUUAAAAUGCUUGUGUUGUUACCCUGGCCCCGGAGGCUGAUUUAUCUUCGCAUGCUGAUUCGGAGGAUGAUAUGGAGGAGGAAGCUGUCACGAGCUAUGACAGACGGAGGGGCCGUCUUCACUGGUGAGUCAGAAGAACUGACAGUUGCUGAUGUGCCUAUGGACCCCAGCCAAAUUGAGGAGGAAACAGAGGCUGGUAACAAUGAGGGGGAGCCCCUAUUGGAUGCAAGAGAGAGACGUAGGAGACGUCGUAGAGAACAGCUAUUGCCACGUCCCAAGAGGUGUGGUCAGGAGACGUAGGGCCAUACCCUACAAAGUAUAAAAGGGGUGUGACUGGACUGAAAAGGCGUGGUGAACAAUUUGCUGGCGUUUUGGAUGCAGUGGAGUUACAACUGUUAGUUUGGAGUUUUUGACAAGAGUUUGCAUUCCUGCAUUAGCCUGCUGACCGUCUGCCAAGACCUUGGAACAUUGCCUGUUUUUGCUUAUGUACCUCCUGUGAAAACUGAACCAUGUCAUAAAUCUCCUGUUCCUCUCUGCCAGCAAGAUGCAGAAACGAAGCACACUGAAGUCAUUCCUCUUGCCACUCUGACCCGCCAGCAAUCACAUACAACAGAAAUGCCUGGAGCCAUUUCCAUCAAGUCUCUGCAAUGCUGUUACAAGGAUGCUGGAGGUAAAAGAAAGGCUCUAAAUAGUUAAUUCAUUUCUGAUACCAUAUAACAUUUGCUGGACCGACAUCAUCCCCGGAGCUCUACUUUAAAUCUACAGAUUCACAAUCAAAUCAUCUCAGAUGGCAAACAGUCCUUUAUCCACAGGAAGACAGUCAAGUACGCACAGCUACUCUGCACAUAAAACAACAGGGAAUACCCUGCAGAAAGGAACACCAACAAUGAAUAAUAAAUUACACUUAUUAAAGGCAGCUGUCCAGCAGACAUUUUGCUGAUUUGCAGCUCUCCUUAGGGGUAUAAAUACCCAUAUGCCACACUUAUCUUGAAUACUAUGGACAAUAUGGUCUUCAGUUUGCCAAUAAGCAGAGACAUAAGUGAAACAUUACUAAAACCAAGAUUGCAUUUUGCAUGACUAUCCUCACGACCAAUGCAAAUGAUGCUCACCAGCCACACGUUUUUGCUAAUCCAAAAUCCACAUAUCUGUAUUUUGGUGAUAACCAUCUUUCCAGCUUGUGGCUCACAACUGAAUAUUAACUUAAUAAUAGUUCACUUAAUGCAAUUGAUUUUAAUUUAAUUUAAGGUUUAUCACAUAUACAGCAUUAUGUACUAUAUGGCAUACUACACAAGCUUGCCUUAGAGAAAAUGUUAGGGAAGAUGUACCACACUGAAUUGGGGCAAUUUUAUCCUGAUUUAUAUUCCUCCGAAGGGGAAGGGGAAAGGAACAGAGGUCAGAAGUCAUUAGUGAAACUCUGACUAAGUGCUUGGACUUAGUGGGCAUCUACUAAUGUCCAUUUUCUUCUGUUCCGUGUAAUCAGUUUCUUGCUUUACACUGCUUUCUAUUUGCUAAAAUCUCACUUUAAAGAUGUCAGAAUUGCAUCAUUUCUGUCUUCAGUUGUUUGCUUGUAAGUACAUUUUGUUAUUAUAUUAACAAUGUCAAUGAUUCUAUGCACAUAUCAUUCAACCCGUAUAUAUCAAUAAAAGAAUUAUUAC